rnacentral:rRNA from 1 species
UACGGAGGGAGCUAGCGUUGUUCGGAAUUACUGGGCGUAAAGCGCACGUAGGCGGCUUUGUAAGUUAGAGGUGAAAGCCCGGAGCUCAACUCCGGAAUAGCCUUUAAGACUGCAUCGCUUGAAUCCAGGAGAGGUGAGUGGAAUUCCGAGUGUAGAGGUGAAAUUCGUAGAUAUUCGGAAGAACACCAGUGGCGAAGGCGGCUCACUGGACUGGUAUUGACGCUGAGGUGCGAAAGCGUGGGGAGCAAACAGG